ACCCAGCUGACGAGUCCCAUAUAUAACGAAACGCGUGUCCUGGAC
rnacentral:hammerhead_ribozyme from 1 species